ensembl:lncRNA
GGGAUUGAGAGGGUCUAGAUCUUGUGUGGGCUGUGAGGGACUAAGUAGGUACGCCUAGGCUCAGCUAGGGGCAACUUGGCCCUCUCUACCCUCUGUAUUAGGCUAGACAACGUCCUUAAUAACCAAGGUCUCUAUCCUUCACUCACCCAGUCCUUUAUCAAGGUGGUAUGAAGAACACAGAUUCUGGAGACAGACUACCUGAGUUCUGAUUGUAACUCUCUUAUUCACUUGCUUUGGGAGGGUUAUUUAAUCUCUCUGGGUCUCAGUUCCCUCAUGUGUAAAAGAGAAUAAUAUGUCAUAGGGUUGUAAGAAUUAGAUGGGUUUACAUAUGUAAAAGUACUUGGAAUAGGGUCUGGCACACAGUACUUUCCAAAUCUAGAUAUUACUAUUGUCAUCACCAUUCAUGCCCUGAAGGUAGCAUAAAACUAUGGAGUUGCCCCAACUUGGGGGUUGAACAUCCCUGAAGACACUAUAAAGAAACCUAUGUUAACAGAACAUUAUGUGUAGAUCUGGAGUCAGGACUGCCACCCAAACAGCCAGAACAGAAGGUACCAGUGAUGUCCAUCUCAACAAACUACCUGAGCCCCAAAGCGUCCAUUUUCAGAGGCACAGAGAGCAGGGGAUUAACACGGGAAGACAGCAAUUCACUGAAGAGUGCUUCCAGUGAGGACCAGUUCUCAGGGAUGAGGGCAGCAGGAACAAAGGAGCUGCCAGGAGCCACCCCCACUGAAAACAACUCCAGAAAUAGAGAAAACUCAGCAAGGACAAGAAGGGCAGACAGAGAGAGGCAGAGGUGGACAGGAAGGAACUUCCAAAAUGGACAAAGAACAGGGGUUCCUUGUAACAGUGAACGACGGAAGAGAUCAAAGUGGGAAAGCUGGCUCCAUACCGGGGCAAGUUCAAGCAGAGGGGAAGAGUCCUACCUAGCAAUGACACCAAGUCCCUGAAAGUCGGUUGUCCAGGGAAGCAGAAUCCUUGUCCCUUUGGUUACCUGAGUUUCUCUGAAGACUUUCACCUCAAGUCUGGGCUUUGGGAGCAUGUCUCAAAGUAGCCCUUGCUCAGAUCUCCAGCCUUCCACCUUUGUCAGGACCCGACUCCCAGCUCCCACUCCUACACAACUGAAAAAACACCGAAAGAGUUUUCAGUGAUACAGGUGUGAUAGCUGCAUUUGCUUUCCUCCCUGACUGUUUCUAAUGUGUGUGUCUUCUACCUAACCACUUAUUAUAAAAGCAUUCACUGAUCCCUCAAAGAACUUGCAGGUUUUGCUCCACAAAACAAAGCACUCAGGAAUAAUUCCUCAGUGAUUAGAACUGAAGGAUCAUGUUUCCAGUAGUAGGAAUUAGAGGGCAGAAAGACAGAUUUCUAGGGCCCCAAGAAGGAGUUACAGAUGUCAGACAGCAGAGGCUCAAUCUGAGUGCUCCGUGGUAGAAGUAGCCUGGGUAGAUAGAAAGCAGCUUUCAGAACUAUUAUGGGAGCUGCCACUUGUUUAGCAAAAGCUGCCUAAACCUUUCUUUCCAGUUUGAACUAUCUUUCCCAAAGCAACAGAUUAUGUUUUGCUACCAUGCCCUUUCUUCAAAACAUGCAUGAGGACUUCCCUGGUGGUCCAGUGGUUGGGAAUCCACCUGCCAAUGCAGGGGACACAGGUUCGAUUCCUGGUCCAGGAAGAUUCCACAUGUCACAGGGCAACUAAGCCCACGAGCCACAGUGACUGAGCCUGAGGUCUGGAGCUCACGUGCCGCCGCUACUGCCUAGAGCCUGUGCUCCACAAGAGAAGCCGCCGUGAAAAGAAGCCCACGCCCCACAGCUAGAGAGCAGCCCCCACUCACCUCAGCUAGAGGAAGCCUGAGCGCAGCAACAAAGACCUGCCACACCAAAAG